UAGGGAAUAUUAGUAAUGGGCGAAAGCCUGAACUAGCAACGCCGCGUGUGCGAAGAAGGCCUUCGGGUUGUAAAGCACUUUUUGAGAGGAUGAGGAAGGACGGUACUCUCAGAAUAAGUCUCGGCUAACUACGUGCCAGCAGCCGCGGUAACACGUAGGAGGCAAACGUUAUCCGGAUUUACUGGGCGUAAAGCGCGUGUAGGUGGUUUGGUAAGUAGGGCGUGAAAGCUCCUGGCUCAACUGGGAGAGGACGUUCUAAACUGCCAAGCUUGAGGAUGGUAGAGGGAGGUGGAAUUCCGGGUGUAGCGGUGGAAUGCGCAGAUAUCCGGAGGAACACCAGUGGCGAAGGCGGCCUCCUGGACCACUCCUGACACUCAGACGCGAAAGCUAGGGUAGCAAACG
rnacentral:rRNA from 1 species